rnacentral:rRNA from 1 species
UAACACGUGAGUAACCUGCCCUUGACUUUGGGAUAACUUCAGGAAACUGGGGCUAAUACCGGAUAGGAGCUCCUGCUGCAUGGUGGGGGUUGGAAAGUUUCGGCGGUUGGGGAUGGACUCGCGGCUUAUCAGCUUGUUGGUGGGGUAGUGGCUUACCAAGGCUUUGACGGGUAGCCGGCCUGAGAGGGUGACCGGCCACAUUGGGACUGAGAUACGGCCCAGACUCCUACGGGAGGCAGCAGUGGGGAAUAUUGCACAAUGGGCUGAAGCCUGAUGCAUCAUCUCCGCGUGC